CGGCGUACGGGUGCGGAACACGUGUGCAACCUGCCUUUAUCAAGGGGAUAGCCUUUCGAAAGGAAGAUUAAUACCCUAUAAUAUAUUGACUGGCAUCAGUUAAUAUUGAAAACUACGGUGGAUAAAGAUGGGCACGCGCAAGAUUAGCUAGUUGGUGAGGUAACGGCUCACCAAGGCGACGAUCUUUAGGGGGCCUGAGAGGGUGAUCCCCCACACUGGUACUGAGACACGGACCAG
rnacentral:rRNA from 1 species